GAUGAACGCUGGCGGCGUGCCUAAUACAUGCAAGUCGAGCGAACGGACGAGAAGCUUGCUUCUCUGAUGUUAGCGGCGGACGGGUGAGUAACACGUGGAUAACCUACCUAUAAGACUGGGAUAACUUCGGGAAACCGGAGCUAAUACCGGAUAAUAUUUUGAACCGCAUGGUUCAAAAGUGAAAGACGGUCUUGCUGUCACUUAUAGAUGGAUCCGCGCUGCAUUAGCUAGUUGGUAAGGUAACGGCUUACCAAGGCAACGAUGCAUAGCCGACCUGAGAGGGUGAUCGGCCACACUGGAACUGAGACACGGUCCAGACUCCUACGGGAAGCAGCGGUAGGGAAUCUUCCGCGAUGGGCGAAAGCCUGACGGAGCAACGCCGCGUGAGUGAUGAAGGUCUUCGGAUCGUAGAACUCUGUUAUUAGGGAAGAACAUAUGUGUAAGUAACUGUGCACAUCUUGACGGUACCUAAUCAGAAAGCCACGGCUAACUACGUG
rnacentral:rRNA from 1 species